rnacentral:lncRNA from 1 species
GCGUCGCUGAUUGCAUUGAUUGACAGAUCAUCCCUGAAGUUGUUUUAUUACGUCAAAGUGCAUUCACAUUAUGACGUUGGCUGAGUUACCGUAUAAAAUGCGAUAGUUUAUCUCUUUGGUAAUCACUUGGUAAAGUUUUACAUGAUGGGAAUAUAGGCUCCAGCCAUAGACUUUAACCAUGGAGGAUAAUAAGGUAAGCCUAUGAAUUGCUAACAGAGAAGCCCCAUGCAGUGGUGCAGGAACCGCUCCACCGUCUUUUUUUAUGCUGCGUCAGGAACCACAGGGUUUACAGGACACGACUGUAGGGGAGCCGCAAGUAGUGGCAGCUGGGUGGCGGUGUGGGAUAACGUUAAUGUGCCGCUAAUAUUAUCAUUUUUAAUAUUGUAAAAAAAUGUAUGCAUUAUAAUAACCUAUGGGACUUGUUAUACAUCAAAUAUGAUCCUUGCAAAGAUAACAGUAGUAGGCUAUUAUCAUAAUUCUACCUAAAUUAUAAUAAUAAUAGGUGACUCCAGAACGCAUUAAUUACGAAUCUUGAAAUCAGGCAAUAGAAUCUAUGUGUAUUUAUAGCGAAAACCUGUUCUGUUAAAAAAUUGUAUAUAUUGGCCAUUAUAAACUGGGUGUUUUGAGCCCUGAAUGCUGAUUGGCUGAAAGCUAUGGUAUAUCAGAGCGUAAAACAUUUAUUUGUCCUCUUCUAAUUAAGUUGGUAACCAGUUUAUAAUAACUGUGCGUUGUGUCACGUGUAAGAACAGCUCUUAGCUGUGGUAUAUUGUCCAUAUCCAUGAGCAUUUAAAGAAUGGUCUAAUUUCUUCCAAUCAGAGUUUAAAUGAAGAUGAUCCACAUGAUCAUCAAAGUUUGGAAGGUCAAGUCCAGAAAAUGAAGAAUGAUAUCCUGGGUUUAAACUAUCCAGAAGAUAGUGAAGUGAAGGAUCCCCUGCCUCAGAUCGAGCUGAAGGCUGUGACAAGGAGAAAAGUUAAGACCAAGAGGAGGACCAGUGCCAACAGGUCCACAGUUGAACAGAGCACUGAUAGUGAUGCGGCUGAGAGAGAUUUUGUUGAUAAUCAGAAUGAUGAAGAUGAGGAAAAGGUGAAGAAGGAUCCCCUGCCUCAGAUGCAGCAGGAUGCCGUGAAAAGAAAUAAAGUCAAGGUAAGGGAAUAGAUUGAGCAGAGAUGUGGAUAUUUGUGAUAUCUUUCAUAUCUAUAACCUGCCCCUACAGCAUGUUGUUCCUAGGAAGGUAAAUUGCCCAUGCAAUACCCUAUUAUCUCCUAAUAG